GAUGAACGCUGGCGGCGUGCCUAAUACAUGCAAGUCGAGCGAACAGACGAGGAGCUUGCUCCUCUGACGUUAGCGGCGGACGGGUGAGUAACACGUGGAUAACCUACCUAUAAGACUGGGAUAACUUCGGGAAACCGGAGCUAAUACCGGAUAAUAUAUUGAACCGCAUGGUUCAAUAGUGAAAGACGGUUUUGCUGUCACUUAUAGAUGGAUCCGCGCCGCAUUAGCUAGUUGGUAAGGUAACGGCCUACCAAGGCAACGAUGCGUAGCCGACCUGAGAGGGUGAUCGGCCACACUGGAACUGAGACACGGUCCAGACUCCUACGGGAGGCAGCAGUAGGGAAUCUUCCGCAAUGGGCGAAAGCCUGACGGAGCAACGCCGCGUGAGUGAUGAAGGUCUUCGGAUCGUAAAACUCUGUUAUUAGGGAAGAACAAAUGUGUAAGUAACUAUGCCCGUCUUGACGGUACCUAAUCAGAAAGCCACGGCUAACUACGUG
rnacentral:rRNA from 1 species